CAAGCCAACCUCUCUCGGGUUUGAUAUGGGAAAACCGUUAGCUUGGCUCCAAAGAGAGGCAAUAACAGUGUGCCUAUGCAAGUAGAGAGUGUUUACUCACGUAGCGAGUGUGUAGCAGCCAAACAGAUGAUUGCCCUCUAGUGCUGUAGGAGCUUUUAUACACCAGUGUUAUAAUUCAUGAUCUCAUGACUGACCGUAACCUUGCCGGUCAGGUAACCAAGUGACCAUAGUCUGUGAGUUGACAGUCAGUCAGCCGGAGGAAUUAACAGUUCCUUGAUGGCUUCAGUGACCUCUUGGAGCUGUCUAAGAUAAUUGGGUGGUGUCACCUGCGUGGUACGUCAGCGGGCUUAUCUGUCUCUCUCGACCAGUCUUGCUGUCUGGCCACAGCGUUGAGGAUUAGCGGACUGCGGCCACCACCGUGACUAAACAGUUACACGUGGAUGUGACAGCGAGUGUGGUGGCCACUGCCGAGGAUAGUGAGUCUAGAUGUUGGGCUGAUGUAGAGGAUCUCAGACUACCUGUGAAGGAAUCUUGUGUGACUAAUCAGAAGAAACUCAAGAGUUUAGAUGCCAAGUAAGUA